rnacentral:lncRNA from 1 species
UAUAUAUCAAUCACAUGUAGUAAAAUAAGAUAAGUAAAGAAAAACAGUAAGCACAUAUAUCCCCCUCCUUUUAGACGAUUCCCCCAAGCUAUAUCAUAUAUAGAGAUAGUUAAAGUUAUACAAAUUAUUACAAAAUAAUAAUAGAGAUUAAAUAAUAUACAAAACAUAAAAUGAAAUUAAUUCGCCUAUCAUUUCCUUCCCAUGACGACUCUUCAUAUCUUGAAUAAGCUAAAGGAUCAUGUUCAACAUCACAUGGGCAUACAAAUAUAAAUGCAAAAUAUGGAUCCUGUUCAACAUCACAGGGGCAUACAAAUAUAAAUGCGAAAAUACAAAGCCAUUUUUAAAAGGUGAUUAUAGUAUUGAAACAAAUAACCACACACAUACUCGUAUUUUCUAGCAACAAAGUUCAUACAACAAAUAAUAACAAAUAACAGUAUCACAAAAGGGGAGGAAAGGGAACUAACCCAUGUGCUUCCUUUAUUUGUUAUAACCAUUGAAUUUGCAAGAUAGAUAAUACUAAUAAGAAAAGAAAGUUGUAUUGAUCAAAGGAACUAACCAGUCAAGCAAAACAAUUAUUCAACAAACAAACUUCAAUCCGAAUUGAAUUAGAGUAGUCCACCGAAACACAAGAGUUUCUUCAAUAUAUGAACAACUAUUCUUUUCUUUUUGAAGAGUAUUAUAGAGUAUUUUUUGUUCCAAGUAUUAAAAGCAUGAAGGUCAGUCUCAAAUAGGUAGAGUGUAAGGUGUAUAUCAAGUGUUGGAGUGUUCAAGUGAUUGUUCAGAGUAUAAAUCGUGAAUGUCCAGUGUUAGAGUGUUGAGAGUGCUAAGAGUGUGUAAGUUGUUCCAGUCCCAAAUGUGACAAGAGGGCCUUGAUUAUAUACUAAGUGAGAGGGGACAACACUAAUGGAAAAGAAAUAAUUAAGGGGUCAAUUAUAAUAUAUUUUCCUUAGAUAAAAAUAUUACCAAUCAAUGAAAUACUAUACAAUAAUCAGCCACAAUUUUACCAAAAAUAAAGCAAGUAAGAAUCUGUUUUAAUUUAUUUAAAGCAAGCAAAUUAAUGCAAUAUAAAAGCAGGUAAGGAAAGAAUUAUUUACAUAGGUUAAGAAUCAAAUUACAUACCUUCAUAUACCUAUUUCUGGCACCU